rnacentral:rRNA from 1 species
CGCUGGCGGCGUGCCUAACACAUGCAAGUCGAACGGGGUUGUUCCUUCGGGGACAACUUAGUGGCGAACGGGUGAGUAACGCGUGAGGAACCUGCCUUUCAGUGGGGGGACAACAGUUGGAAACGACUGCUAAUACCGCAUAAUGUAGCGAGACCGCAUGAUCUUGCUACCAAAGCUUUAUGUGCUGAGAGAUGGCCUCGCGUCUGAUUAGCUAGUUGGUGAGGUAAACGGCUCACCAAGGCGACGAUCAGUAGCCGGUCUGAGAGGAUGAACGGCCACAUUGGGACUGAGAUACGGCCCAGACUCCUACGGGAGGCAGCAGUGGGGAAUAUUGGGCAAUGGGGGAAACCCUGACCCAGCAACGCCGCGUGAAGGAAGAAGGCCCUCGGGUUGUAAACUUCUUUUACCAGGGACGAAGAACGUGACGGUACCUGGAGAAAAGCCACGGCUAACUACGUG